AAUUAGUGUUCAAAUCAACAAUUAGAAGUUGAGUUAUGAUAAUUACGAUAUAAAAUUAUAUUAAUAUGCAGAUAAAAGGAACAAAUAUCAAAAUAUGUGAAAAAUUAGUUCGGUUGCCGCCGCUAAAUGGCUAUAGUGUUUUUGUGUCCAUUAACGUGCCUAUAUGCUCUUAUACAUGUAUAUGGAAUAAAUGUAUAUGGAAAUAUAUGAUUGCAAUGAAUGUUAUAAAUAAUAAUCUAUAAUUUUUAACAAUUAUGGUACUAGUCAUUCCUCUGGGACAAUGAUGCUAUCCCAUUCAUUACUUCAGGAUGGUUGGUUAGCAUAAUCUUUGAUAUGGUCGAGUUCAAAAAAAAAAAAUGCUUUGGGUGCAAAGACUGUUUGUUCGAAUUGUUCUUUUCUUUCAGAUUGCUCGGUUUAUUCGAACUGCUUGCUUUAGUUUUUAAUCGAAUGGCUCGUUUUCGAACCUUGCGGAUCGCUUGUUUCGAUCACUCAUGACUACUCAGCUCGAGCCGAGCAAAGUUCGGCUCGCUUUCCCGGGCUUUCCAACAGCACUAACAAUAAGUUCAACUACUAUGGGUAAACUAUAACAACAUCGUAAUCUGGUGAAAUUGAUAGGUUAUUUAUAACACUAAAAAUAUUGCUAUAAAUACCAACAGUCUGUCUAUCGAUAAUAUAAAUACAUUGCCUGACAUUUUAAUUGCCAGAUGUCAUAAAUACGCGAUUUGUUGAAGUGUAUGGAACAAAAAAAAAUUUGAUAAGUAGGCUGGGAGCAGUGUAAUCGCAACUCAGUGAUUGGAUGAUUUGACUCUUUAAAUCAAAGAAUUUGGCGUGUCCAUUGUCCACACCAUCUUAAUUCAACAGCGUUCGAAUUAUAUAAAAGUUUUUAUUGAGCAUAGUGUUACAUGUUACAAUAGUAAUAAUUAUAAUAAUAUUAAUUAUGGUGAAAGUAAUGAUAAUCAAUGAUAUACCUUUCAACAAAUAAAACUAUCACGAUGUUACAUUUAAAAACGGUACUUUUACAAACUCCUGAUUUGUAAUCGGCUUGACUAGCAUAUUAGAAGCAUUAACGUUACAGUUAAUCGUAAUCAAUUAGAGAAGGAUCGAAAGCACGUUUAAUACGGAGGGACAAUUACGAUAAACAGGUAUUAAAAACGCUUUGUAAUAAAUUAGGUAUGAUACGAGAAAUGUACAAUGAUAGAUCACUAAUAUUAUUAUUAAACGUAUUGAGAGCUACACAUCGUUCAUGACAAUAACGUGCAAGGCUGAUUUGUACGAGUUUCAGUAGUAAAAUAUUUUGCUCCUCUUCUCUUUAACAAUUUUUGUCUCGCUAUCCCUCGCUUUAUUAAAAACACUGAAUAGCUGUUCGUUAAUUAAUUUCACGUUUUUUUGUGAGAUUAUUUCCACAGCCUUUAAGAUUGGUGACCAAAUCAGCCUGGCAGAUUCGGAAAAGAGAAGGAGCGACACGCGCGUAAGAAAACGUCCGACAGAUAAUAAAAUAUGUGUACAACUUCCAAUAAAUAUGCGACGUUCGUCUAAAGUACAGAUUGCUUAUCCAGUAAUCCGCCGCGUCUCGUACAAAGUACUUAAAAUAGAUUCUAAACUAGUCUUUCGUGCUUUAAGUUUAAUUAAUUUGUAUCAGGAAGUUUCUUAUGGUUUUACUCGAUUAUAUUUUAGGCUUGAAGUGCCUAUAAAAGAACACCCAGUUACUUCCGUUAUGUAUCCAUUUAAAAACAAUUGUAUCGUAUUAAAUCUGAUUUCUAAAUUCUUAAAAGGUUUAAGGUUGAAACAUUUUAUUAAAGAAAGUUACGCGUAGAAUUUUAGUAGAAAUAUUUUUGUAUUAAUGGCAUUAUGUUUUUAUUUACUAAUUAAAAUAUCACAAUAUCUAUGGUGGAAACGUAGAAAGCGAAGAAAUUUUUCUUCGCGUUUAAGAUUCCUACGAAACAAGAAACUGAGAUGAAUUAUUUUGUUUAUUUGAACGUUAACAAACGUCACUCGCCACAAGGUUUUCACGUGUAAAAGAUUACGAACAUGUGUAGGCAUUCUGUUUUAGGCGCUUCACCCUGUAGUUAACAUACAGUGAUUAUUUGCAGAAUGAGCUUCGAGUUCGAAGAGCGUCUACGAUUUUUCUGUGCAGAAUUUUCAUUACGAGAAGUUGAACAAAAUUCUUGAUCGUAGCAUCCUCGAUUCGAACACUAUUCGUGUGUACAUACACGAAACUUGAUUGAUCGUUCGAUUCUUGUUAGAACUUUACAAAAUACUGAAGUAAUACUGAGUAAUAUACGAUGAUACUUUUUUUCUCUCGUUGUAUUACAUUACGUGGACCGAUCGCGAAAAGCAAGCAGUCGGUCGGGCGAAAUUUCGUGAAGGUGAAAUAAUCCUAGUAUUGAUUAACAAAUUGAUCGUAUAGAGGGAGAGAGGGGAGAGAGAAAUGCGAGUUCCCCGUUUAGCCGACUCAACGUUCAAAUACCUGCUCGGCAGUAAAUGAGAUCCGAAUGAAUGUUAACGGGCCGAUUGUAUUUUGUUAUUUCAGCUCAAGAAUCGAUCCUUUGGCUCUGCGCUAGGGUGAA